rnacentral:rRNA from 1 species
GAACGCGAAAGCCCCGCAAGGGGUAAGUAGAGUGGCGAACGGGUGAGUAACACGUGGGUGACCUACCUUCGAAUGGGGGAUAACGUCCCGAAAGGGACGCUAAUACCGCAUAACAUCCUGCUCUUGAACGAGUGGAGAUCAAAGCCGGGGAUCGCGAGACCUGGCGUUUGAAGAGGGGCCCGCGUCUGAUUAGCUAGUUGGUGAGGUAACGGCCCACCAAGGCGACGAUCAGUAUCCGGCCUGAGAGGGCGGACGGACACACUGGGACUGAGACACGGCCCAGACUCCUACGGGAGGCAGCAGUGGGGAAUUGUUCGCAAUGGGCGCAAGCCUGACGACGCAACGCCGCGUGGAGGAUGAAGGUCUUCGGAUUGUAAACUCCUGUUGCCCGGGACGAAACGUUUCGACCUAACACGUCGAGACCUGACGGUACCGGGUGAGGAAGCCCCGGCUAACUCUGUG